rnacentral:rRNA from 1 species
UACGGGGGGUGCAAGCGUUGUUCGGAAUCAUUGGGCGUAAAGAGCGUGUAGGCGGCCGAGUAUGUCAGAUGUGAAAGUCCCGGGCUCAACCUGGGAAGUGCAUUUGAAACUGCGCGGCUAGAGUAAGGGAGAGGAAAGUGGAAUUCCUGGUGUAGAGGUGAAAUUCGCAGAUAUCAGGAGGAACACCUGUGGCGAAGGCGGCUUUCUGGCCCUAUACUGACGCUGAAGCACGAAAGCGUGGGGAGCAAAU